AGAGAGAGAGAGAGAGAGAGAGAUGGAUGGAAACAGGCGAACAUCAACGGUUGAGAGUUCGGAUGACCCAGCAAGGCUUAUAACAAAGAAGGAGUUCCCCGCCGUGCAAGAUUCAAAGAGAGCACAAGCUGAGGAAGCGGAAGAAGGCAGCAGAGCCCGCGGCCUCUACUGUCGGCAUAGAAGCGGAGCCGUCGAAGAUGGAGGAGGCAAGGGUUCAUGGAGCCCGGGAGCCAGAAAUGAGCAGGAGAUGCUCAUCCUCCAUCUCUAUAGGUUUUAAUUAGGCAAGGAUAAAAUGUUUCGACCAUCUUUGCUUUCAGCGAGUAGUAAAUGCAGAGAAAGGCAUGUCGUCAUUAUAGACCACCUUCGGUACGAGUGCUUUAAUCCACCCAAUUUACUCGUCCGUGUGAUGAACUAUCCUAUAUAUCAAAUUAGAAGAUUUGACCGACUUAGAUGGUGUCAAACACAUGGUACGCAGCAUUCAUCAGGGAAUGUUAUGGUUUCGGUUAUCACCUCGACAUUGAUCUUAUUAUAUGCUUGCUUGCUAUGAUAUGCUCAUCGCGGGUUUGAUCUAUUUCCUUUUAGCCUAAAAGUAAAUAUAAGGUUUGAUGGGGGCUUCAGCUUUUAACAAGAAGGAAAGAUUCGUUUAUAUUUUUGUUUGAGAAAAAAAUAUCCUUUCGGUCUUUAUAUGUCACCCAAAAUUUUUCACUAAUGUUUUUCUUAAUCUCUUACGUAAUAUCCUCUUAUCCCUCUUGAAUAUUAAUAGCUAAUCCUUGACUUUAAAGGGAAGCUCUAUCAUCCAAUGUAUUUUUAAUCUUUUUGAUACUUGAGGCUCAUGAUCAAGGACUUGGUAUGAUGAUUGCACUUUGCUGGGAGCUUUCUAUGGAAUUGGGUCUAGAUUCGACAACGAUAUUAAGUACUGACUCUAAGGGAGGUGCUAGAGGUG
rnacentral:lncRNA from 1 species